GACAGUCCAAAUUAGAUCCCCAACUACUAACAACACCAACCCUCUCUUCUUAAACCCUCUUACACUCUCUUAUCUAGGGUUCAAAACUGCAUUCUCUCACUACCGCCGUUGAUGUGCAAUCUGCCUUGCCUGGAUGCUUGACGCAGCUUCUGUGCUGUGGAACCUUUGCGGAUCUAAUGCCACGGAGAUGCUCGAUCAUCACUUUCAAUUCUUCACCAUCUAUCAACUGUGAUUUCUCUGAUUAAAUUACAAUAGAUAUGUGUAUAUCAUGACAAUGGUAGUAAAGAUUUGCUUUGAUUGAUUUGAUUAUCACUUGCAAAGGAAGAGGCCAAUGCAAGGGAUAAUUAAAGAUCAAAUCUCACUAUACAUUUUUAUCGGAGUUGGCUACUAGGUGGGAUGGACGUAGUGGGAGAUUUAGGAUUAGAGGUAGGAUAGUUAAUUUUACUCCUAGUGACGUAUGUUUAGCUAUAGGACUACCAAUAGUAGGUGAGUCAUUUUAAAGAAUAUGAAAAUGAGGAAUGUGAUACAUUGUUGUUGUUUAGAGGAAAAGAAGUAACUUGUGAAAUGAUUGAUGUGUUGCUUCACAUGUAUCGUAAUCACAGAGUCAAUUUUGUUCUAUUUUCCCCAAUCACAAUAAAUAGUUGUUAGAUUAAAGAAUAUGAAAACGAGGAAUGUGAUACAUUGCUGCAUAGCUACAAUUAGGGAAAACGAGGAAUGUGAUACAUUGCUGCAUAGCUACAAUUAGGGUGUUCUGGUGUAUAAUGUUUUAAUUGAAAGUUUAAGUAGAAUUGAAAUUGUGUUGAAAGAGGGGAAGGCAGAUUCGCAAACACACAUAACAGGUUGUGCAACUGUCCUACAGAUAAUUGAAGAGUUAACUGCCACAAAUGAAUAACUUGAAUUUGACAUGGUAAAUGAAGCAUUGCAUGAACAAGAAAAUCAAACUGUACGUUAUGUUGAUUAUCAACGAUUGGUGGCGGAGAACAGACAGUCCCAAGAGAAGAUUUCAAUUCUUGAGGGUGAGGUAAAAUUGUUGAAAGAAGAAUUGUGUAAACUUCAAUCAAUGCAUGAAUCCGAUCAUGAAUUUUUGAUGAUGAGGUGAGAAUUAGUACCCCUUUUGAGAAUGUUAAGGAUGAAGUCGCAUGUGAGCCUAACGUUGAGAAUGAAGUCGCAUGUGAGCCUAACGUGAACAGUUCAGCAAAAGCAACGUCAAACAUAAUUACGAGAAUGAAAGAUAAACCAAGGAAGCGAGUUAAAAGUGUAGUCAAUCAAAGUCCGUUUGUGAAUCCGGAUGAAAAAAAGAAGAAGAAGAAAUAAGUGUUAUGGGCAUAUUUUGAGUUUGUGGAGGGUUCUCUAUAGCGAUGUAGUUGGUGGGGUUUGAACUGCACUUUUUGCUUGUAUUUUUCCUUCUUUAUGCUUGUAUGAACAAAUAUGAAUGAACUUUAUCUCUUUCUUUAUGAUUAAGUAAGGACUUAGAUUUGGUUGAUUAAGUUC